GUGGCUUUGUCCUCCAAUGGAGUGUAAUCAAACAGCGCUCGCAUGUAGACCUGAAGAAAACACAUGAAGAACAACAAUCGUACAUGAGGACAAGAACAAAAGUUGAAAGACAUGAGGAGCUGCCGUUGACCUCUCUCAGUUCAUCACCGACAUGCACCAGACCUGCGGAUAGAGGAGGACUACCUGAUUUACAGAUUCACUACCACAUGUUCAAGCUGUACCUGCUGUGUGUGAUCCAUAAUACACUUUA